rnacentral:rRNA from 1 species
ACGGUCCUUUCGGGGAUAGUGGCGGACGGGUGAGUAACGCGUGAGAAUCUGCCUUCAGGACGGGAACAACAACUGGAAACGGUUGCUAAAGCCCGAUGUGCCUUUCGGGGUGAAAUACUUGUAGCCUGAAGAUGAGCUCGCGUCCGAUUAGCUAGUUGGUGGAGUAAUGGUUUACCAAGGCGACGAUCGGUAACUGGUCUGAGAGGAUGACCAGUCACACUGGGACUGAGACACGGCCCAGACUCCUACGGGAGGCAGCAGUGGGGAAUUUUCCGCAAUGGGCGAAAGCCUGACGGAGCAAUACCGCGUGAGGGAGGAAGGCUCUUGGGUCGUAAACCUCUUUUAUCAGGGAAGAAACAAAUGACGGUACCUGAUGAAUCAGCAUCGGCUAACUCCGUGCCA